rnacentral:rRNA from 1 species
GACGAACGCUGGCGGCGUGCUUAACACAUGCAAGUCGUACGGUAAGGCCCUUUCGGGGGUACACGAGUGGCGAACGGGUGAGUAACACGUGAGUAACCUGCCCACAACUUUGGGAUAACGCUAGGAAACUGGUGCUAAUACUGGAUAUGUGCUCCUGCUGCAUGGUGGGGGUUGGAAAGCUCCGGCGGUUGUGGAUGGACUCGCGGCCUAUCAGCUUGUUGGUGGGGUAGUGGCCUACCAAGGCGGCGACGGGUAGCCGGCCUGAGAGGGUGACCGGCCACAUUGGGACUGAGAUACGGCCCAGACUCCUACGGGAGGCAGCAGUGGGGAAGAUUGCACAAUGGGCGCAAGCCUGAUGCAGCAACGCCGCGUGCGGGAUGACGGCCUUCGGGUUGGAAACCGCGUUCAGCAGGGACGAAGCUUUUUGUGACGGUACCUGCAGAAGAAGCACCGGCUAACUACGUG